rnacentral:sRNA from 1 species
AGAGAUGGUAACUCCAGCAGGGCAGUUUCAUAUCCACAGAGAGAAGGAGAUUUAGGAUACACAUCCAGCAGUUAAAACCAGCAGGGGCUGGCAAGUAGCUGGGUGUGGGUGAGAGGGAAGUGUACUGGAGGACCGAGUGGGUGUGAUAUUUCUUGAGAUCAGCACUGUACGGGGAGGGCCAAGUUUUAGGGUUUUGAGAAUACAUUCAAUUUCACAAAGAUUUAGUUAUAUCCGUGGAAUGGUCAGUAAGGCAUAACCGGCUCACGACAGGACAUGUGAACCUGGCAGCAAUGGGAAAGUCAACUGGAGCAUGUGGAUUCAUGAGAUAUCGUGUGUGGAUUCAUGAGGUUGCAAACACCAAGAAAGAAACCGUUUUCAAAUGGCUCAAGGAUGAUGUUCUGUAUGAAACGGAGACACUGCCUAACCUGGAGAGGGAAUCUGUGAGCUGCUCAUCCCAAAGUUGUCAAAGAAGGACCACGGUGAAUACAAGGCAACCUUGAAAGAUGACAGAGGGCAAGAUGUGUCCGUCCUUGAAAUAGCUGGCAAAGUGUAUGAUGAUAUGAUUUUGGCAAUGAGUAGAGUCUGUGGGAAAUCUGCUUCGCCACUGAAGGUACUCUGCACCCCAGAAGGAAUACGACUUCAGUGUUUCAUGAAGUAUUUUACAGAAGAAAUGAAAGUGAACUGGUGUCACAAAGAUGCUAAGAUCUCAUCCAGUGAGCAUAUGAGAAUCGGGGGGAGUGAAGAGAUGGCCUGGCUGCAGAUAUGUGAGCCGACCGAGAAGGAUAAAGG